UUGCACAGGAGGGAAGGGUGGUGAGGGACUGGGUGGAAAGCAUUAACCCCCACACCCAUCCAAGCAGUCUUUGGGGAGGAAAUUCUAAUCCUGGAGGAAUUCUGAUUUUUUUCUUUCAGAAGUGAUGUCACUCACCAAAGUGCAGUAACUGCUGUCUUCUGGCCCUUGAUAAUAGGCAGGUUUUGGGACCAUCAAGCUUUGGGCAGCUUAACCCAAACCUAGGUUGGUCUCACCCACCUGCUUGUAAAGUUUGCUUUUCCAGCUACUCCCUGUCACUUCUCUUGUGACUAGCAUGUGGGACACGUACCCACAUGUCCCUGGCACUGCCUCGGUGAGGCUUGAUGGGGCUGGAAGUUGCAGGGCCAAAACUGAUAAAACUCCUUGGGAGCAAACUUCUGACUACUCUGAGACUUUCCACAGGUCCUGGCACCAGGAUCCCAGCAGGGUCCCCCACCCCCUGGGGAAAACAAGGCUCUGAAGUUGUAAUCUGACUUAAAAGCUCCCAGCAGGGAAUUAAUUCCCCUCCCAAGCAACAUUGUUCAAGAAGCUUGGGAUCUGACUCCUGAGGAAGUGUGGCAAAUUUCUCCUCUGAAUUUGUUGGGAUCAUCUUUUAACCCUGGCAUCUCAUCUUGCCUUUUUCGCCUCGAUUAAGGAGCUAUCUGCUAUCGAAGGUAUCGUCUUCAGGUAAUACCUUGUAGACCAUCAUCCCAUCAUCUCACAUCCUCCUCUUGGACAAAGAAAAAUACUCUGUUCAAUACAAAAGAUUUUCUCCUCGAAGAAAAUGGGCAGAAAAUGGUGAGACACUGGAAUGAGCCACACGAAAAUCUAGGAAGGUAAUACUGGUAAGAAAUGUCAUAAUGGAAUGGCUUUCCAUUCCAGGAUCUCGCAUUCCCACAUGUGAUUCCUCUUAUUUUUAUGUCCCUCAUUCACAAGACAUCCAAAUCAGUAGUGCAGGACUUUCUAGUGCCUGCAAAAUCUUGCAUGAUAUUAAAAUGCUAACCGUGUGCAAAUACCAUUAAUUACUAACUGAAGUAAUUUUUCUUCUGGGCUCUCAGAAAACCUUUCUAAUUCCAUUUUCUAGAUGAGUACUUCUUACAUGGGCACUGCAUAUCCACAACAGGAACACGCUGCGGUUGAGGCCAGCUCAAGCAUGGGCUGGGCAGAAAGGCUUAUGAUGGAGAACUUUGCUACAUCCAUGAUUUACCCCUCAUGCUGACAUGCCCUUCUCUACUUCCAACAGGACCCUGAAACCCAUCUCAUUCCUUCCUCCUGAAGAGGCAGCUGGCAAAAGUUGGGUUGAGGACAGAGAUGCACAUGUCAUAGAGCUAGUUUGCUCAGUGUUCUCUUCUCAGUGUUCCCUCCUAACUACAAUGGAAUGCUUACUGUAUCCCAGUCACAUCAAAAGGAUGCCACUUGGCAGGGAAACUACUGGGAGAAAGUGCAAGGAGAUGAAUAUGAAGAAGUGCCUAGUUUAGAAACACAGUUGCAAAGGCUAGUAAAUCCCUCUGAACUCUGCUCCAUUUCUGCUCUAUAUCCCAGUGUAAAACUGACUCUCAAAGCAAAGUCUGGUUCUCAAAGCAAAGAGCAGAGACAGACAGCAUGGCAGGAGAAAGACAGUCAAGCAAUGCAACUCUGAACAAUAUCUGUUCCAAGAGAAUUUUGCCCCCGUUACUAUCACUGGCAGACCUGUAAAGCACAGACAAGAAACAGCACUUAAGAAACUGGACUGUAGUGGAGCAGGUAUUUCAUCUGGCAUCAUUACAGGCAACAAAGGAAAACAAUCUGUUGAGUUCACUUCUGUUUGGAUUGGCCUGCUGCUGAAGAACUACUGCAAUUUAAGAAUAUCUGAGACAUGUGAAGUAUAUAAACAGAGAAAAUGCAGAUGAAAUAGUGAGUUGACAGAAAUCAAAAGCAAAGCUGGUCAUUUUAUUUCAUUCCAAGCAUAGUCUCUCUCCCACCCCAUUUCUUCAUUUCAUAGUGCAAUUUUUAUUUUUACUAGAUAAGAAUGAUUAAGCGCAAAUGCACAAAUAUAUUUCUAAAAUGUUGAAACCAAGGUUUAUGGAGACAAUUCCUUCAGGUAUAGAUGGACCUGUCUUCAACACCUGAAACAAGAGGUUGAACCUUCCUGAUGCUCAACAGCAGUCAGCACUGGGUGCCUCAUGUCCACGGCUGCCUCAGCAACAGGCAGCUCUACAACAGGGUGCAUUCACCAAAUGGAGGACACACAUCAAAAGCCUUGUCUUUAUUUUUCUCUUUUACAAAUUGUAAAGGCUCUUUCUCUCUUUCUCAAAUGGGCAGCUGAAGAAUGAAUCCGUGCCCCACUUUCAACAGUUUGCUUCUCAGAAGAACAAAGUAAAGAAAGAUAUUUAUAGCUCAAAUCUAAAGUAAACCAUACCUGAGAGGCCGGAUUAGACAAAAGUCCUUUUUUAUCUCAGGUUUUUGCUACAGAUUAGGGAAGAUUAAGACAGCAUCCUGUUCUCACUGUCGUCUGAAUGACUGCAGCAAAGUGGAAGUUUUAGCAGACUCCCAUUAACAUGAAAGGCCAGCAGUGCUUAAAGGUAGGCACAAAAGAAGUUUUUCUACCAGCCUGUGACACUUCCCAAGAGCUGACAACAGAGAGAGUUCAAAACAAGUAGUUUGGGUUAAUAGUGUACUUGCAUGUAAAUACAUAAAAGCUUCAGUGCCGUAAAGCUAAUUUAAAAAAGGACAUUUCUCUUUAUAGUUCCCCUGAGUAUAAUAGAAACUAUGAUAUUCUUUCUACCAUAAUGUACGUUUCAUUAAAGAGCUGGAGCUAUAAUUGUCUACAUCAGUACAUGGCAGCAGACUGGAUAAAUUGUCCACAUAAAUUGCUUAAUACAACUCGGAGCCCCGUUCCAGAGAGCUGGUGACUCCUACAACUGCAUCAAAGAGUCCUACCUGAGUUUAUGCCACUACCUGCAGCUCCACAGAGCAUCGGGCGGACCCAGAACGACCCCAAAACCCAUAAAACCACCUGGUGCUGAACUCCACAAACACCACAUUAAAUAUUUAAACGCAUUCACUCCCUUCCACAAUGGUCACGACUAUGCGCCAGUAAUAUUGAAGAUUUAUCUGAAAGUUAUGCAUAUGAAGUGAUAUGCAGGCUAUUAUCAUUCUUAAUAAAUCAAUAAAGUCAACCGAAAAAUUAAAGUGAGCAUGUUUGGAACAUUUGACAGCAAAUAAAUUUCGGUCUCUUAAGUGCGUCACUUUCAUUGCAAUUUACUGCCUAACCUACAAGAGGGUUAAAUCAGAAAAGUGAACAGAGCAAGAGAAGAGGUCUCAGAAAAGGAACUACAAUGCAUCGAAUUGCAAUUUACCAGUAAAUCAGCACGGCAGAAGGAAAUGUUUGUCCUAACAGGGCUGUUACAUUUUUUUUAAGCUAGUUUUGUCUUGAACUUCAAGCUAAUAUUCAUUAAAUUUUAGGACUGUACUAAAAUAUAAAAUAUACUACAAAUGUA